rnacentral:tRNA from 1 species
AGGAAUGUAGCUCAGUGUUAAAGCACCUGCCUCGUAUGUAUGAGGUCCUGAGUUCAAUCCUCAACACUACCA